AGCGAACGCUGGCGGCAGGCCUAACACAUGCAAGUCGAGCGGCCGUAGCAAUACGGCAGCGGCAGACGGGAGAGUAACACGUGGGAACGCGCCCUUCGGUCUGGAAUAACCCAGGGAAACUUGGGCUAAUACCGGAUACGCCCUUACGGGGAAAGAUUUAUUGCCGAAGGAACGGCCCGCGUCCGAUUAGCUAGUUGGUGAGGUAACGGCUCACCAAGGCGACGAUCGGUAGCUGGUCUGAGAGGAUGACCAGCCUCACUGGGACUGAGACACGGCCCAGACUCCUACGGGAGGCAGCAGUGGGGAAUAUUGGACAAUGGGCGCAAGCCUGAUCCAGCCAUGCCGCGUGGGUGAUGAAGGCCCUAGGGUUGUAAAGCCCUUUCAGCGGGGAAGAUAAUGACGGUACCCGCAGAAGAAGCCCCGGCUAACUUCGUGCCAGCCGCCGCUAUAAAAC
rnacentral:rRNA from 1 species